rnacentral:rRNA from 1 species
GACGAACGCUGGCGGCAUGCCUAAUACAUGCAAGUAGAACGCAGUUGCGAACGGGUGAGUAACGCGUAGGUAACUUCCUCAUAGCGGGGGAUAAAUAUUGGGAACGAUAGCCAAUUCCGCCUUCUUUGAGCUAGACCUGGUUUGUAUUUGCUAGGUGGUGAGGUAAAGGCUCACCAAGGCCACGAUACAUAGCCGGACUGAGAGGGUGAUCUGCCACACUGGGACUGAGACACGGCCCAGACUCCUACGGGAGGCAGCAGUGGGGAAUCUGCGGCAAUGGACGGAAGUCUGACCGAGCAAUGCCGCGUGAGUGAAGAAGGUUUUCGGAUCGUAAAGUUCUGUUGGUAGAGAAGCGGUAACGAACCAGAAAGAGACGGCUAACUACGUGCCAGCGGCGGUGGUAAUA